rnacentral:rRNA from 1 species
CUACAAAGGAAUUGACGGGGCCCGCACAAGCGGUGGAGCAUGUGGUUAAUUCGACGCAACGCGAAGAACCUUACCAGGGCUUGACAUCCCCUGACCGCGUAUGAAAGUACGUUUUCACCCUCGGGUGACAGGGAGACAGGUGGUGCAUGGUUGUCGUCAGCUCGUGUCGUGAGAUGUUGGGUUAAGUCCCGCAACGAGCGCAACCCCUACGUUUAGUUGCUAACGCGUGAAGGCGAGCACUCUAGACGAACUGCCGUUGACAAAACGGAGGAAGGUGGGAUGACGUCAAAUCAUCAUGCCCCUUAUGUUCUGGGCUACACACGUGCUACAAUGGCCGGUACAGACGGACGCAAAGCCGCGAGGUGGAGCAAAUCCUAAAAAGCCGGUCUCAGUUCGGAUUGCAGGCUGCAAUUCGCCUGCAUGAAGUCGGAAUCGCUAGUAAUCGCAGGUCAGCAUACUGCGGUGAAUACGUUCCCGGGCCUU